rnacentral:hammerhead_ribozyme from 1 species
AUUCGACGAGUCCCAAAUAGGACGAAAUGCGCAUCCUGGAU